UUUAGCUACCCUGAGAGCUAAGCUAAUGAGAUAGAUUGAUUAUAUAUAUAUAUAUACAUAUAUUUAUAUAUAUGUAAAUAUAUAUAUAUAUAUAUAUGUAUAUGUAUAUAUAUAUAUAUGUAUACAUAUAUAUAUAUUUAUGCAUACACGUAUAUGUAUAUAUAUAGAGCGUUCACAGAUACUACAGGCACACGCAUACGAAUAUACUCAUUUGGCAAAAAGAGUUUUUCAGCUUCAAGUGAGAGACGGAGUGAAAGCAGUAAUAUUAUAAUCUUAUAAAGCUACGAGAAGUCUUACUUUACUUCUGUAAAUCUGCGGGUGUCUUUAUUGUUGGCCGCAGAUUAACAUCAAAUUUCUGCUGGCCACAAGCCAUUUAAACUAUAUUUUGCAUAUAUAUAUAUGAAUAUAUAUAUAUAUUUAUAUAUAUAUUUGUCACAAUAUAAAGUAAGAUACAAAGACACAUUUCUCUCUGCCACGCUUUAUAUUUAGCGAUAUACAUAGACACACCUAUAUUUAUAUAUACAUAUACACAUUAAUAUUUAUAUAUGUAUGUAUGUAUAUUAAUACCGGAGUACCAUUUUGUUAAUUUUCUAAACACGUACAGAAAAUAAUAAUAUAAAUCUUUUUUCUUGGAAAACUGCUGUGUCCAAGGAAGGAGAGACCUACAGUAGGGUUUUUUGUUUUUUAAAAAAAUUUUUUUUUGAGGUAAAAGUUUACGUGAGAAAAAAAAAAAAAACGAAAAGGAGAAUAAAUAUUCAAAAAAACAGGUUCGCGGAUAUUUUUGCACUUCAAUGACGAUGAAUGACGAAACGGAUUCUGGCCGUAGAUUGGUAGGUUUUUUUUUUCCUCCCUAUACAAUACACCAAAAGGUUAUGUAUUUUAACUGGGAAUUGAAAACUAUGUCAGCCAAUGAACACACACACACACACACAAACACAAAAAUCUGUCUCGCACACAUGCACAUACGAACAAGAAUGAUCAAGGGAGCCUUUUAAUGUCUUGUCUUUUAUUAUUACUGAUUUAGUUUAGUAAGGGAAAAAUUAUAUAUAUAUAUAUAUAUACAUACAUAUGUAAAAAGCAGUUGUACAAAGGUUAGAUUAUUUAUUUGAUUGUUGUGUGUAUUUAUUCUGUGUGUAUGUUAUAAUAUUUAUGUAUGUGUGUGUCUGUGUGUGCUGGCUGACAUAGUUUUCGAUUUCCGCAGUUAAAACACAAAAGUAACUCAAUAAAAAUAAAUAAAUAAAUAUAUCUGUCUCUCUCUCCAUAUAUAUUUAUACAUAAUAUAUAUUUCCUAUAAUCUGGUAAAUAUAUAUAUAUAAAAAAAAAGACUGUACAGAAGCUGAUCUUCCUGUCGUCAAAGAAAAACCGCCGUUUGAUGGAUCACAUUUACAACUAAAACGCCUCACUACAGCAGCCAUCUUGUCAACAUUAACCUCCCUCCCCCUUUCACUUUAUCUCUAAUAAUACUUUCUCUCUUUCUAUCUCGCUGUCUUUUUUUUUUUUUUCCACUUUCCUUUUUCUUUCUCCCCCUCCCCCCUUCUCUUAUUUAAUGUUGAGUUGUUUUGUUUUUUUUUUCUCCUACUUCGCAGCCAAUUGUAAAUAAUGGUUUACCUUGAGUCAUUUAUCUUUCUUAAAAUGUAUCAACAAACCUUGAUAAAAUCAACAGCAUAUUCUCAUCAGAACUGUCGUUAUUUCAAUGCAUUUUAUUUUCAUUUUUUUUUUUUUUAGCAUUUUAUGCUACUGCUCAGCUUGUAAUAAAUAUGCACACAUGUUUACAAGGGAUUUACCUAUGUAGUCAUUCGACUUAGAAGAAAUAGUAAGCAAAUCUCCCUCAAAUUACACUCCAUUGUUUUACAGGAAAGAACAAUACACAUUUAAAGUGUGGUCCUAGGUACCAUCUUCGCCACUACAUAAAACGAUGGUCAGGACUCACAUGGAGUUAACAAUACAUUGUAUAAGUAUGCAUGUGUGUGUGUGUGUGUAAGUGAAUAUAAGCAAUAUAUAUACGCGUGUGUUAAGAAUUUAUACAUAAUUGUUUAAAUGUAUAGUUUUAUAUAUAUAUAUAUAUAUAUAUAUACACACAACGUGAUGUUGGUGUAUAUAUAGAUAUCAACAUUUAACGUCCGUUUUCCAUGCUGGUAUAAGUUGGACAUACACACACACAUUAUAUACACGUUUAUAAAUGUGUUUUAUAUAUAUAUAUUAUACACGCGCGCGCGCACAUUUACACGCUUAUCCGUGUGUGCGUGGAGUUACGGAAUAGCCAUCUGUCUCACGAGGAAGGAAAAGGGACAUGGAAUUGGGGGCAAAAGUGUAAAAAAAAAUACUGAAAUUUAUGGGGAAAAGUCUUUCACAAACAUUGUCAUUGCUGUUUUAUGAAAUACAGGAAUAAUUAAAAAAACAUUAAAAAACCCAAACAUCCUUUCACCCCAAUCUUAUUUAACCUUCCCCAUGAAGUAUAACCUGUUCCAAAACUCCACCUAUAUGUAUAUAUAUAUAUAUGUAUAUAUAUGUAUGUAUGUAUAUAUAUGUAUGUAUAUGUAUGUAUGUAUACACUCCCAGGCACAUGCAAAACGAAAAGCUCCAACAAUUGCCAGGAUCCUGAUGGAAUGAUAUGUAUAAUCCCUCAUCACAUACCCUAAAAGGCGCAGUCUCUUUGAAAGAGGUUAGAUCCAUCUUUUAUGGUCUGUUAAAUGAAUACGGUGGAUCUUAUCGAAAUCCCAGUCAGUUGCAUACUGACAAACAAGACAUGCACAAUGUCUUAUUAUGAUUGGAUAAAGACCAUCGUCUAUUGUCUCAGGAAUUGUUUAAUGAUACCUGUCUAGUCAUCAUCAAUCGGUACAUCUCUACUGAAAAGACCAGUCGCAAUAGUUAUUUAAAAAAAAACGGGGAGGGGAUAAAUUUCGACAUGCUUUUAAACAAGUGGAUCCAGCAGCAGUAACGGAGCAAGUUUGUGGAAUUCUCUUUCUUUCAUCCAUUAUUACAACCAGCCGUGCUUUGCUGACGUUUGUGUUGCUAUAAAAAAAUUCUUGGAAAAAUGUAAAUUUCCUGGGUCAGACGUUCUUGCAGAAAUGUUGCGUGAUGGGUUGUUACCUCUACAUACGAACAGUUUCAUUGCUACAACAAUGUUGGAUAAACUGUCGGAAUCAGGAGCACCGUCCACUUACUCUUUGCUUGUCCAAAUCAUUUUCAUAAGUUUGUCCUAAACAUCCGUGCUUGUUAUUCAGACUAAGUUAGUAGUCCUUGUUAUAUACGUCGGGAGUGAUGUAAAGCUUUCUUUUGAUAAGUCACAAGUUACUUUGAUGAUUAAGGGGGAAAAUGCGAGUGUGUAUCAUAUAUGUUGCAUGGACGUCAGGGAAACAUGUCCUGUGUAUCUCGUGAUACACAGAUCAGGCAAAGGGUUAAUAGUGCAAUGAUGCUGAUAUCGUUUUCAGCAUCUAGAAAAAUGAGAAUGACAACUAUGGUCCAAUAGUAGAAUCGUAGAACCGUUGUGAAGAGAAGCAACAUCAACCUUGCAAAAGAGGAAGACAAUGCUAUGCAACGAUUCAGUUCUGCAGUUGGCUUCUCACUGUAGGGGUGGGAUUGAAGAUAAUGGAAGAUAAUCGUGCCGAUCAUUACAAGGAGAAGCGAGAAAAACGGCAUGAGUGCAGAGGGAACGUCCUGACCAAAUCCGUGUUCGAAAAGACUCGGUUAAUGAAUAUCAGAAAACAUCGCUCCAAGAGUCACAGUACAACUUCCACUGGAAUUGAAUGAAGCACAGCCAAUAUCUUUCUCACAAAGCAGCGUGAAACAUUGGGAUCUGUUCAUUUGAUCUUUUGAUGUGUCUAGGGUUUUUAACAAUAUAAACAGAACUUCCGUUGGAUGUUCUCUGAAACUUUGGUUCCAAACCCAAAUUUGUGAAAUCUCCCUCAGCUCUACUCAUGAAUGAUGACCUGAAUUGCUUUUCGGAGGGCAGAAAUCUGACACCUUCAAGUGUAAAUAAACGGGAAUUAGUCAUGGCUGCAUGCUAGCAACCUUUACUGUUUGAUGUUUUCCUAAUAUGUGACCAUGUUGAUUUAUUUAUGCAUGCGCGCAUGUACAUACACAUGUAUAUCUUCUUCAUCAUAAACUAUAAAACGUGUAGGAGCCUUUGUUAACCUCCGGCAUCAGUUGUUAUGGGCUUCUAAUAAGUUCAAGUCUGAACAAAUCUUUUGAUCAUAGCAUACUGAUGACUCGGCUCUUGUUCAUUCUCUGGAAGUACUACUACAGACCAUCAUCUCAGCAGCCGUUACUGCUUUUGAAAGAUCGGCGUUGAUCCACAAUGCCCCAUAGACGGUGACCUCUGACAGUGGCACACUACAUCAAAUUAGCCCCUCGUCUCCAUUUCCUCACUUCAACAAAAACAACAAGCCGCUCUCUUCCAAUUCAGAUACUCUUAUUAGCAACAUUUCUCAUGUUAAACAUUGACUGAGGAAAUUCAGAAUCUCCUCGAACAGGUGCCUAUCUACCUUUCGGAAUGUUCAGAAAGUGACUUAGCAAGCACCAAGUCCUCGUAAUAGGGCGGUGAGCUGGCAGGAACGUUAAGCACGUCGGGCGAAAUGCUUAGCUGUAUUUCGUCUGUCUUUACGAUCUGAGUUCGAAUUCCACCGAGGUCGACUUUGCCUUUCAUCCUUUCGGGGUCGAUUAAAUAAGUACCAGUUACGCACUGGGGUCGAUAUAAUCGACUUGAUCCGUUUGUCUUUCCUUGUUUGUCCUCUCUGUGUUUAGCCAUUUGUGGGUAGUAAAGAAAUAGUUAUUUCGUCUGUCUUUAUGUUCUGAGUUCGAAUUCUACCGAGGUCGAUUUUGCCUUUCAUCCUUUCGGGGUCGAUAAAUUAAGUACCAGUUGGCGUACUGGGGGUCGAUUUAAUCGACUGGCUCACUCCCCCAAAAUUUCGGGCCUUGUGCCUAGAGUAGAAAAGAAUAGUACCCGGGACUGUUGGCAGUUGUAUAUUUGUCUCUCGCCUGUAUCUUGUUUGAACGAGGAUCGGCUGACACUGAAAUCUAGGAUACCGUUAACACCCAGUGUGUCUGGAGAUCAUUCUAGUCGCCAGGUGAAAUUAGGAUAACAUAUGUAGAAACGUUUCAUUGAACCCACACUAGGUGGGCAUCGUUUAAGAUGGUUUUUCACUUGUAGCGUGCCUGUUUGGCUCGUGUUUCUCCUCUUACAGCCAUAUGGUCAAGGCUUUGGUUCACAGACGUUUUGAAAGGAAGCGAUAUCAAUCUUAUAAAAAAACGGGAAACAUUGCUUAUCCGUCGAUUCACUUUGGUAGUUGACAGCCUCAAUGUUGAGAUGGGAUUGAAGAUAAAGGUGGAGAAACGCGCUGACCAUUAUGAGAAGCGAGAAAAGUGGUACGCUGUUACUCCAACCAAUGUCCUAUCUAUAAUAACUGCGGUUGUACAUCAAAUGUAGAUAGAGUAUAUUCAACAAAGACCCACUAAUGAAGAAAGAGGUCAUCGGAUGCGAUAAACAACCGUGUGUGUGUGUGUAUGUAUGUGUUAUAACUGAUAUGAAUAUUAGUUGGUUGAUUAAGUGGUACAGAGAGUUAACAUUAGAAGUACAGGAUGAGUGCGCGCAUACACAGUGAGAGAACGAACCUUAGAAACAGUGGAGGAAGUGGACGAGAGGGAGGAGUAAAUGGCAGAGUAGUUAUUGGAGGAGUUAUGCAGAAGAUAGAUUUGUUUGAUUUUAUUUUGAAGUAAAAAAAUAUUUUACUUAUGAAAGUUAGUUUUAAAUUACACCAUUUUAUAUAUAAGCACCAAGGAAUCUUGAUAAAAAAGUUUAAUGUAAUUAUUGCAUUUAUGACAUAUUUCCCUGAUAUUAACUGAUGGUUACCCACCCGUCCGUCUGUUUUUUCAUGUUGGACGGUCAUAGACCUAGUUCCUUCAUUGGGAGUCACGGCCCUUCUAAACAAGUCAGGACUAUGUCUCAUUUGUGCGUUCUGUUUUGGUUUUUUUGGCAUGUUUUCUCUGAUUCAAUACACUUCUUGUCACUAACCAUUUUACAAUAUAUUUGCGCGCUGGCAUGUGUGUGUACAAAAGAGAAAGUAGUUUCUAAAGAAGUCAUGGGCAAACUGCGCUCUGCGGGACUUUUUGAAUGGCACGCCUAAUGAAAAAUUGCCUUGUAUUGUUUUUUUAGUAGUACGGCUCACCUGAUAAUGAGCCAUGUCUUAUGCGGCCCGCUUCUCGAAAAACGUUGCUCACUACUGUCCUGUACCAUAUUAAACUGGCCCCUCAAAAUGCUUCAGUUGAUUGCAGCUAAACUAAUUUUAAAGCCUGAAAGUUUACUCUAUGAAUGUACGUACAUACAUACAUACAUACAUACAUACACAUAAAUGCAUACAUACAUACAUACAUGCAUAGAAUUGCUUUAACUGAGGAAGGUUUAUGUAAUGGAUACAUUUCCUAUUAUAUAUUAAGCAAACCUGAAACGUACGUAUUAAAUUAUUUCAAUAUAUCACUGUUUCGUUUGACUUCAUUAUUACAACUAUAUAUAUAUAUAUAUACAAACAAACAAUACUUUUGCCCACCAUUAACGGUGUAUUCAUCUACUUCUUACCCCGUUCCUAUAUGUUCGUAAAUAUGUCAAAUAUUUACAAAGUAGUGAUGAUGAUGAUGAUGAUGAUGAUGAUGAUAAUAAUAAUAAUAAUGCUUUCUACUAUAGGCACAAGGCUUGAAAUUUGGAGGAGGAGGGGGGGGGGCUAGUCGAUUUCAUCGACCCCCAGUGCACAACUUGUACUUAAAUUAUCGAUCCCAAAGGGGUGACGAGCAAAGCCGACCACGGAGAAAGAACAUAAAAACGAACGAAAUGCCACCAUGCAUUUUUGUUCGCUGUUAACCAUUCUGCCAGCUGCCCGCCUUAAUAAUAAUAAUAAUAACAAUGACGAUGAUGAUCAGCGUUUAGAAAUUGAUACAUCUCUAAAUUCGUGAUUUUUCCCCCCCUCUUUACAAAACCUAAAGACUGUGCUCCAUCUUAGACUUAGCCUAGAGAAGAGUAACCUUUGUUUAAUCUUGAUUGUUUUUUUUUUUUUGUUUGUUUUUUUAUCAUUAUUCGGCGAACUUUCAGAAUAGCUGUCCUGCAUAAGUUUUUCCGUAUCACAUAUUUCAAAAGAAUGGGUGAGGGGGAGAGGAAGCCCUUUUUUGUUUGUUUGUUUGUUUUAAACUUAAAUUUUAAAAUUUUAUUCGUCAUUCUUGUAGAGCGAUAUUUAUUUCUACAAUAUUUGUUAACUUAAAAUACGGAAUAUUUUUUUGGAAAAAAACCAUUGUUUAAAUAUAUUCUAUAUAUUUUUUUUUCUUAAAUCUUGUUAAUUGUUUUGUUUAUAUCCCCCUCGUUCUCCUCCUGUUAACAAUAUUGUUACUGACAGCGAAAAACUACAAUUACAUUCAUAUCAACCAAGUAAAACUAGAUUUUUUAUUUUUAACGUCAUCUUUUUGUUUGUUGAUUACCAGUUAAUUUUAACUUUUUUUCUUUUGAAACCGAGUUUGCUU
rnacentral:lncRNA from 1 species